rnacentral:rRNA from 1 species
GACGAACGCUGGCGGCGUGCUUAACACAUGCAAGUCGAACGGAAAGGCCAGUGCUUGCACUGGUACUCGAGUGGCGAACGGGUGAGUAACACGUGGGUGAUCUGCCUUGCACUCUGGGAUAAGCUUGGGAAACUGGGUCUAAUACCGGAUAUGAACUGCCUUUAGUGUGGUGGUUGGAAAGUUUUUUCGGUGCAAGAUGAGCUCGCGGCCUAUCAGCUUGUUGGUGGGGUAAUGGCCUACCAAGGCGUCGACGGGUAGCCGGCCUGAGAGGGUGUACGGCCACAUUGGGACUGAGCUACGGCCCAGACUCCUACGGGAGGCAGCAGUGGGGAAUGUUGCACAAUGGGAGGAAGCCUGAUGCAGCGACGCCGCGUGGGGGAUGACGGCCUUCGGGUUGUAAACUCCUUUCGACAGGGACGAAGCGUAAGUGACGGUACCUGUAGAAGAAGCACCGGCUAACUACGUG